AUUCCGGUUGAUCCUGCCGGAGGCCAUUGCUAUUGGGAUCCGAUUUAGCCAUGCUAGUCGCACGAGUUCAGACUCGUGGCGAAUAGCUCAGUAACACGUGGCCAAACUACCCUUCGGAGCUCCAUACCCUCGGGAAACUGAGGCUAAUAGAGCAUACCACAAUCCACCUGGAAUGAGGAUUGUGCCAAACGCUCCGGCGCCGAAGGAUGUGGCUGCGGCCGAUUAGGUAGACGGUGGGGUAACGGCCCACCGUGCCAAUAAUCGGUACGGGUCAUGAGAGUGAGAACCCGGAGACGGAAUCUGAGACAAGAUUCCGGGCCCU
rnacentral:rRNA from 1 species